rnacentral:rRNA from 1 species
AGUCACUGCUAUUGGGAUUCGACUAAGCCAUGCGAGUCGAGAGGGUUCGGCCCUCGGCUGACGGCUCAGUAACACGUGGAUAAUCUGCCCUUAGGUGGAGGAUAACCUCGGGAAACUGAGAAUAAUACUCCAUAGGCCUAGGAUGCUGGAAUGCACUUAGGCUGAAAGUUCCGACGCCUAAGGAUGAGUCUGCGGACUAUCAGGUUGUAGUCAGGGUAAAGACCUGACUAGCCUACGACGGAUACGGGUUGUGAGAGCAAUAACCCGGAGAUGAUAUCUGAGACGCGAUAUCAGGCCCUACGGGGCGCAGCAGGCGCGAAAACUUCACACUGUGCGAAAGCACGAUGAGGGGAUCCCAAGUGCCAGCUCGUAAGAGUUGGCUGUUUUUCUGUCUAAAACGCAUAGAGAGUAAGGGCUGGGUAAGACGGGUGCCAGCCGCCGCGGUAAUACCUGCAGCUCAAGUGGUGACCGCUAUAUUGGGCCUAAAACGUUCGUAGCCGGUUUAGUAAAUGCCUGGGUAAAUCGUGUAGCUUAACUAUACGAAUUCCGGGUAGACUGCUAAACUUGAGACCGGGAGAGGCUAGAGGUACUUCUGGGGUAGAGGUGAAAUUCUGUAAUCCUAGGGGGACCACCAGUGGCGAAGGCGUCUAGCUAGAACGGGUCUGACGGUGAGGGACGAAGCCCUGGGGCGCAAACCGGAUUAGAUACCCGGGUAGUCCAGGGUGUAAACGCUGCUUGCUUGAUGUUAGUCGGGCUCUGAGCCCGAUUAGUGUCGGAGAGAAGUUGCUAAGCAAGCUGCCUGGGAAGUACGGUCGCAAGGCUGAAACUUAAAGGAAUUGGCGGGGGAGCACAGCAACGGGUGGAGCGUGCGGUUUA